UACGAAGGGGGCUAGCGUUGUUCGGAUUUACUGGGCGUAAAGCGCACGUAGGCGGAUUGUUAAGUCAGGGGUGAAAUCCCAGAGCUCAACUCUGGAACUGCCUUUGAUACUGCCAAUCUCGAGUCCGGAAGAGGUGAGUGGAACUCCUAGUGUAGAGGUGGAAUUCGUAGAUAUUAGGAAGAACACCAGUGGCGAAGGCGGCUCACUGGUCCGGUACUGACGCUGAAGUGCGAAAGCGUGGGGAGCAAACAGG
rnacentral:rRNA from 1 species